rnacentral:rRNA from 1 species
GAUGAACGCUGGCGGCGUGCCUAAUACAUGCAAGUCGAGCGAACGGACGAGAAGCUUGCUUCUCUGAUGUUAGCGGCGGACGGGUGAGUAACACGUGGAUAACCUACCUAUAAGACUGGGAUAACUUCGGGAAACCGGAGCUAAUACCGGAUGAUAUUUUGAACCGCAUGGUUCAAAAGUGAAAGACGGUCUUGCUGUCACUUAUAGAUGGAUCCGCGCUGCAUUAGCUAGUUGGUAAGGUAACGGCUUACCAAGGCAACGAUGCAUAGCCGACCUGAGAGAGUGAUCGGCGACCUGAGAACUUGGACACGGACCAGACUCCUACGGGAGGCAGCAGUAGGGAACCUUACGCAAUGGGCGAAAGCCUGACGGAGCAACGCCGCGUGAGUGAUGAAGGUCUUCGGAUCGUAAAACUCUGUUAUUAGGGAAGAACAUAUGUGUAAGUAACUGUGCACAGCUUGACGGUAACUAAUCAGAAAGCCACGGCUAACUACGUG